UUCUUUAAAGGCAUGCAGUUCUGGUCCUCCUCCGACAUCGCACCUGCUUCUGACUAGCCCCUCCUUUUCUCAGACACUGGGAUUCCUAAUCCUUUCCCUUCACCAGUGUCUUCACAAUGUACCCCUCUUCAUGCCUGAUAUUCAAACAGAAAAACAGUAGCUAAAGGUCAGAUGACCCAAAGUGGACCCUUCCUCCUGAGCCAAAUUCCAAGCCAAGCUUAAAGUACCAACGUGGAUUCGGACUUCAAAAGAGAGGAGUUGUUGGAACCUCUGGACAGUACUCCAGCGCAGCCAGUGUUAGGGGAGCCUCGGGGCAUCCAAGCCCAGGUCCCUGGGCCAGGGUGUCCAUGCUAAGUGAGUCUGGGGCCCAUUGCCGCCCCCUCUCUAGCACCUGCAAGCUUGGAGACCAUGCUCCUGCGCAGCACAGAACACAUCAGCGGUCACUAGGCUUCCGAAAUUCUGUGUUCCCUGUCAAGUGAGAUUUUUUUAAGACUCAUUUGUGGGCAGCUAACUUUAAAUCUGCUGCCCUUUUCUCCACUUCCUGUGUCAGAGCACAGCAUCUUGGCUUUUUUGGAGCAGUCCCUUUUUAUAUGUGUUCUGUGUUUUGAAGAAUUUACUGCUCCACUCUGCAUCUCAAGUAAUUGGAUCGAUUUUGCCGAACCAGGAUUCAGCCCAGAGUGACGUUGUCGGACCGUGCUGGGGUCCUCUGAUGUCUUGGAUGCUGCUGAGAGGGCAGCAGUGGACAGACGGGACAUCAGGUCACAGUCACCAUCAGCCAGGAGCGCUGGUCCACAGAGGCCUUUAGCUACUGAAUUGUUUCUGUCUUCAGCCAUCCUCGUACCAUCUCCAUGAUUUUGAAAAGUCUAUAUCACGUGUGUGCUUAUUACAUAUUUUCCCUUGAGUCGACUUGCUGUUUCCACUUUAUGUUAAAAGGACAGAUUUUUAUCGGUACUGUGAGUGGAAAACCACUGUCACUAUAAACACAAUGUCAACGUAAAAGUAAAUGGGUGAUGAUCGCAAUGUUCCUCAGUUGAUGUGGCACAGACUUCUCAGCAUUCACCGCUCUGAUUCCUGGGCUGCCACAUGCUGGUCCCCUGCCUGCCUGCCCAGCAUGCUGUUAGAAACACAGUCUCUCUGCCCUGGCUGCUGUCUGGCACCUCCGUCUCUCCGUCCCUCCUCACGCUGACUUCCCGCUCAAGCUGACUUCAUGCAGUGGACGCCUGCCAGACUCAUCCCAGCAGACUUGAAUCCUGCUCCUCAUCAAGGCCCUGGGGACCUCAUACCAAAGGGAGUGGCCCCACCCAGAGGCAGCCUUGAGCGAAUGGAUGCCUCUGCUGACCCAGCCACCAAGUCCCGGCGAUCAGAGCUGGGCUCCGGGGCCUGUUCAUCCUCACCCAUCACUACAGCUCCUUCCAGCUCCACCUCCUGGUCCAUGUCCAGGCACCCAGGCCGCACCCACGGUCCUGGAAGCUCUGGCAUGCAUAACCCUGGUUUGACAAGCCCAGCAAAGACAGACAGGGUCCCUGCCCUCAAGGCUGCCUGGGGCAGCUUCAGGACCUGGCCCCUUGUUUACAAAUCAGAAGCACCCCUGGGAGAAGAUGAGGACCUGGACACGACCAGGACUCAGGGACUGGGCCAGAGUCAGAGGUGGCUGUCUUGCAAAAGGCCCAGGAUCCCCGUGGAUGUUCCAGGUCUGCCGACUCUCCAGCCUUAUGUUCCCCGCCGGCUAGACUUCAGAUGACAGCCCCUGUGAGCGGUCCCUGGAGCUCGAGUUCCCAACCGCAGGCAGCACGGGGAGAGGGCUGUGUGUGGUGCCCUUCAGCCUGGGUUCUCACAGCUGUUUGCAUCAACAGUGCUUUUCCUUCAAACUGGAUGGCGUAGUCUGGGCUAGACCGGGUCAGCGGCCCUUUGGUUCAGGGUGGUCCUUUCCUCCCAGGGUCCCCGCCAGGCAGCUUAGAGAGCCGCAGGGAUGCUUCCAGUGACCGCUCACCUCGCGGCCUGAAGGGGCACAUCAUGCUGUUUCAGACUCAGGCCUGGGAGUUUUCACGGAUUUGGGUUCAGAUCCCUUCUCCUCACUGACCAGCUCUGAGCACCUGGGUGAGCUACCCAUCCUCCGAGUCUGAAUUCCUGCAGCUUCCAGAUGGGGACAGGGCUGGGAGUUCUGUUCUAUCAUGGUCAGAGGACACGGGGUUCCUCCAAUGUGGCCCACUCUACCGCAGGCCUGAGAGCUUCCGCAGUGAGGAUCUGAUGCCCAGCAGGGACACAGCACUCUGUCCCACCUCACGAUGCCAGCACCCCAGAACACAGUAGCCUCAGCCACCAGGAGUACCCGCCACUCAGAAUGGGCCUCUCCACCAGGAGACAUCCAGAAGAGGGGUGUGGCCCAGCCCCAGGCCUGGGGGUCCCUGUGUCCCCGGAGCAGAGGAUGGUCACCCUGGAGUAGUUCCUGGAGGAGCGUGACCGGGCUCCCCCUACUCUGUGUGUGGCCUGGGAGAGCUCUUUCCUCACUCUCCCCUCAGAUCGAUCUGGACCAGAGGGGAGACCUGGACAGCAAAGUCACAGAGAGGGAUGGGGUGGGGCUGGCAACCUGACUGCAGAGCUGGCUGGAUGGGGACAUAACCACUAGCCAGAAAGUGACUGUACUGGGGGCCCGCCCAGACUGGGAGGCUUUCUCUCUAUCUGUGCAGGGAGUGGCAGAAAUGCCAACAUGGAAGGUUAAGCCAUGCUGUCUGUUGCAGUGACUCUCUGCUGCCGCUGGGCAGGAGGUGGUCCUAGGCCAUCUGUCAAUAAACAGGCAAG